AACGAACGCUGGCGGCGCGCCUAACACAUGCAAGUCGAACGAGAAGCUGUAGCAAUACAGCUGUACAGUGGCGAACGUGUGAGUAACACGUGGGUGACCUACCCUCGAGUGGGGAAUAACCCGCCGAAAGGCGGGCUAAUGCCGCAUACGCUUCCGGGUUCACGGACCUGGAAGGAAAGCCGUAGCUAGGCUAUGGCGCUCUUGGAUGGGCUCACGUCCUAUCAGCUUGUUGGUAGGGUAAUGGCCUACCAAGGCUCCGACGGGUAGCUGGUCUGAGAGGACGAUCAGCCACACUGGCACUGCGACACGGGCCAGACUCCUACGGGAGGCAGCAGUGAGGAAUAUUGCGCAAUGGGCGAAAGCCUGACGCAGCGACGCCGCGUGGGGGAUGAAGGUCUUCGGAUUGUAAACCCCUUUCGGGAGGGAAGAUGGUCCUAGACAACUAGGACGGACGGUACCUCCAGAAGCAGCCACGGCUAACUUCGUGCCAGCAGCCG
rnacentral:rRNA from 1 species